rnacentral:tRNA from 1 species
UCCGUUGUGGUCUAGUGGUUAGGAUUUACGGCUCUCACCCGUANUGGCCCGGGUUCGAUUCCCGCCAACGGAA